CUCUGGAUGGCGUUGAGGCAACAUCAGUGUAGCAACCUGGGGUGCGCAAGGCGGUCGCUAUAGCCGCAAGAUGGUGGAUGGCAAGUAUAACUCUCAAAGCUCUCAAACGUGAGUCUUGCGUUCCGCGGGCCUCCCCUCAGCUGGAGGGAGCGGGUCACUGGCUCCACUAGCGGUUCAGACGGUCUCCCAGGGGCGCAGCGGCCCCUGCGCGGAUCAGCUCCCUGUGGCCCUUCCUCGCGGGGGCAGGAGCCGGGCGGGAAUGCUUUUGCAGCACCCCCCCGCGGAUCCCAGGUUUUAAUAUCGAUAUCAUGCUGAUGUCACAUACCCUGGAAAAGUUUGGAUAAAAUUGGAAUUAUCUGUUCCUUGAAUGUUUGAAACAUUCACCUGUGAAACCAUCUGAAUUUGUACAUGAUUGGCGAGCUACAGCUUGCUGAUGUGCCCUUCGUUGGAGUUACCAGCAGAUGGCACCCACAAGCCACCUACUGCCCUCAGUCCAGUUCUUCCCAACUUUGUCUAUGUGGGCAUGGAUUAACCACAGUUUGGCUAUCCAUUCAACUAGUGGAGGACAUCUUGGUUUCUUCUAGUUUCUAGUCAUUAUAACUAAAACUUGCUAUCCACAUACAAGAAAGGAAGUUUGCCUGGGGACAGACCUCACCAAAAACUGCUUUUGAUGAGAUUUGGACUAAGAGUUGUUACUGAAAUGACUUGAGGAUUUGGGAUAUGGGGAGGAAUAAAUGUGUUUUACAUGUGGGAAGAACUAGCCUCUCUUGUUCCCAAGGAAGAAUUGUAGUAGGUUGAAUUAUGUACCCAAUUUAGACAUGUGCUUAAUCUUAAUUUGCAUUCCAGUAGGUAUAAAACCUUUUGUAAAAUAACUCAAAAUAACUCAAAUACAUUAUUUUCAUUUAAGAUGUGGGCCAAAUGGAUGAGGGCGGAUCCUUUUUUUAAAAUUCUCUCCUCCUUUAAUACUUCUGAAAUUGUCCCCAUACAACAGCAUUGUUUUUUGUCCGAUAACCUAUAUCAAUAGAUCCCCUUCUACCAUGUGACAUUUUUUUCCCCAGAAACUUCUGUACUCAUUGCUUCUUUGUGUAGAAGCUUUUGGGAAGUCAGUCAUUUUCACUCUAUUCUCAUAGUGCUGUCAGGUGGGUUCUAAAGUCCUAUUCUUUUUAAAUGGGAUAAAUAGGGUGUUUUGGGUUUGUUUGUUGUAUUGCUUUUUUUAAUUCAGUUUUAUUGUGACAUAUUCACAUACAAUACAAUCAUCCAUGGUGUACAAUCAACUGUUAACAGUACCAUCUUAUAGUUGUGCUUUCAUCACCUCAAGCUAUUUUUGAACAUUUUCCUAUCACCAGAAAGAAUCAGAAUCAGAACAAGAAAUAUUGUAAUGAGAAAACAUGGUGAAGCAUGUACCUGCUUUUAAGGCUUUUUCCCAGAAAUGAAGCAAGUCCAAGUUGCUCACGUUUACAUGGGUAUACCUAACUACAAGUGCAAGGGAAUUGUAUUACUACUUUCUACUUAGAACAAUACAGCCAGAAUACAUAUUCACCCUCCUGAUGGCAAAUUCAGAAGAAAUUAUCUACCCUGCCCAAUUGCAAAGAAAUCCAGGAAAAAAUCAUUAAGAAUCUCAGACAAUGCACUUUUACAAAACUGAAAAAAGGGUUAAUGGAAAUGUUUAGAGACUGGGAAUUGCUUUUAAUUACAAACAUAUUAAGGAAAAGUAAUUCCUGGAAAUAUUCCAGGAAGAAAUUGGGUCACUCUUGAAGCUAUUAAAUGUUGAAUGAUGUGAGAGAAAAAUGAAGAAGUCCUCUCAUUCUCAAUGUCCCAGCUGUCUCAUAUGGAAAAAAAUUGGUUGUUAGAAAAGAAAUAAUAAUGAGGGGCAAAAUAGUAUUUUUAUAAUAUUAAUCACUCUAACUGUUGGGAAUUAGUUUAGCUUUUUUUGCAAGGGAUGGCAAAUGAGAGCUGUGUUCUUGAAGUAUAUGAUUAUUUUGAGAGAUAGUAAGGUCCCCCACCCUUCAAAAAAUCAAUAUGCAGAUACUCAAAAGCUCUUUUGUCAUUAUAUUAGGCAACAUGAACAAUCUAAAGCAAUCUUCAUUGUCAGUGAUGAAAAUGCAAGAAAAAACUUCAUUUACAUGAUGACUUGUAAAAUAUGAAUGUAUGCACCUAAUAUAAGCACUUUGAAAAUUAUAAAUGUCUUUAUCAAGAUAGUCUUUUGUUCCCAAUUAUUUUGAAUCAAAAUAUUCUCAAACUCACUGAGAGUAUACUGGACUGAAAUCAAUUGAUAGGGGACAUAGGGAGAAUUCUGAAGUCUUUGUGGCAUCUUUAGAAGAUUACAAAUUUCAGUAGAGGAAAGAAAUUACAUAUCUUCAGUUUGAAUCUGGAUUUAUACUAUAGGUUCUUAUUUGAAAAAGAUAUGUAGUGCAUAGUAAUAGACAAUCUUUUCUUUAUUCCUUCCUUUUAUAAAAGUAUCUAUUAAUAUAUCUAUAUCUAAUAUAUACAUAUACAUUUACUUGGGAUAGUAAUGUGCUAUAAAGGCUUCUUAUGUUAAUAAAAUGUUGCUUAAUCUGUCAAAAAAUGUUGAAAGUAAAGCUUAUUUUAUUAAGAUGUUCAGUAAUUGAUAUGGAGUACAUAUGAGGAAAUAGAAUAAUAAAGUUGGAAUAAGAAUGAAAGGUUAUCAUAUAGACUGACAGUAAGGAAUCAAAAACAAUAAAAAUUAUACAUGAGAAAAAAUUAAAGCCUGUGGAAAGGUGAUGAUGAAAGCUCAAUGGGGGAGGAAUGUUGAACUCUGUCAUAAUAAGCCUCAUACACAAAAAUUUACAUAUUUAUGUAUAUAAAUUUACUUUUUUGUAUGCAAGCAGAUGAUAGCUAGCUAGAUAAUAUGUAUGUGUGCCAAUGCAUUUGUGGACUUACAUUUCUAAUUGCUUUCAUUUAACUAAUUAUACUUAUAAGGUUUCCAAACACAUAAAAUGGCAUAUAUAUACACCUUUGCGAGUCAGUAUUCCUUGACAGCCAAAACAUUCAGCCAACAGUGAGUCUAUUAAUUAUUCUAUAGGCUGCCCACAUAUUUAGUUUCCAUAUAGGUAGAAUAUGUAAACUUCAGAAAACUUUUUAUGUCCUAGAUCAAGUAAAAGGAAAAGAGAUGAGGGAAUUUUUGCCAUUUGUUCUUAUCAGAGAAAUGGGGUCACAUUUAAAAUGCAGGUAAAAUAAGUUGAUUGCUUUUUAAACUGUGAUUUUCUCCAUUGUAAUAAGAAAUGGCAACAGACAAGUACAAGAAAAUUUAAAAAUUAAAUAGCCGGAAAAUAUUUCCAAGGGCUGAUACUUUGAAAAUUAAUUGAGGGGGAUUAAGGAGAGGUGAGAAAUAGAAGAAAAUGAAGUGGUCAAUGGAGAAUCAGUAUAAAGGUAAACUGUAUCCUAUGUCUACAUGUGGCAAUAGGCCCUGGUAGUCCAGGAAAGUAGCAAAUAUUUUAUGCCUAUCUUGAGAAGCCAAAGCAGCAUGAACUGUGCAGAUAAGUUGAAGAAUGCAGGGAAAUUUUGAAAGCAUUAUAGAAAGAUUUGCACUAAUAUUGUGUAACCAAGUAAUCAAGGUUUAAUGGAAUCCUUAAUUCUCUGGAAACUGGAUUUUGUCAAAUGUCUACUUCCCCAAUGUUCCUGAAGAGUAGACAGCUAUGUUUCAAAGAUAUGGAGGACAGUAUAAAAUAAUAAUAGAGCCAGUUUUUCAGGAAAGUUUAAAAUUCCUAAACAAAGCUUCAAAAUACAUGAAAAAUUGAGGGAGUUCAAAGGAGGAAUGGAAUUAAAAAGAAAACACUGAACAAAUAUCAGGGAUAGGGUUCUAAUUUUUGAAAUGUAGGAUAAGUAAGUCUUGUUUCCUUUCUGAUUCUUACUCCUGAUCUUCUAUGAGAAUUAUUUUGCUAUUAGAGAUUUUAUAUUGUAAUCCAAACAAUAACAGUUUAUCAAAAUGUUUAGUCAUAGAAGUUUUGUGAGUUAUUCUUUCUUUGACUAUUACUUGUAUUAUAUGAAAGUACAUUUGAUGACUAUAAAAUUUGGUUUUAAUGCUUGAAGAAAACUCCCAGAUAGUGAUUUUGAAAGGAGCAAGCAGACUCUGUUGAAGUGGCAUUGACAUAGAACAUCUUAACUGCCAAGGUUACCUGUGAAAUAAAUUAAUGCUGGAUUUUAAUCUCCAAGUAAGCUUUCCUCAGUAGCACUGAAUUUUUGAUGAGUUGAGAAAUGUAUAUUAAAGACUUCAUCAAAUAUGUAUUAUUUUGUAAUUCCAUGAUCCAUACCAUUAAAUUUUCUCCUGAAAUUCUGCAGUAUAAACAGCAAUUCUUGCGUGAGUUUCUUCAAAAUCUAUGUGAAAAUUGUUUUCACUAUCAUUACUUAAUGAUAGAGUUACAGGAAUGUAUUUAACCUGUUGUAUAUAGAGGAAGUAAAAUUAUUAUAAAAGCUUUACUCAUCUCAGAAACGAUGUUUAGUUUCUUCUCUCAUUUUAAUAUAAUAAAAGACAAUACAUUAAAAUAAUAAAACAAAUUGCACAAACUUUAUGUUGGCUAAAUACAAUGUUAUAUCUGCUGUGUUGAUGAAUUAGUUUACACUCUCAAACCUGAAUAGAGAAACACCACCAUGUUUUCCUUGUGAUACCUCAAAAAGCCCAUUCACCCACUGGAGAACACUCCUAGAAAGAAGUUAGGUGUCCUUCACCAUUCAGUGCAAAAUACAUGAAACUGUGGAUUUUACAAAAGUCUAUUUUAAUAAGGUUUAUUAUAAAUAUUUAAUAAAUGAUAUUCUGAAAAUCCAGUGUGAUGAAAUUAUAUUAACAUGUAAUACACAUAUAUAUAUGUAUAUAUACACACAUAUAUAUAAGCUUUAUAUGCACAAAUGAAAAGCUUGGAAGAAAAUACAUCUGAAGAAUAACGUUUAUAAGGGAGUUUCAUUUUCUUUGAAUUUUGUGGUAUAAUUUUGUGUAUAGAACUAUGUUCAAUUCUAUGUUUGGGUCACACCUUUAAAGAAAUAUUUCAUUGAGAAAAAUAUGCUAUCCUAUCCCUGGUGACAAUGGUCUAGCUUUUCAGCUACAGGUUAAUUAAGAAUAUCUCUAAAAAUAACUUCUCUUCAGUCAUAAAUUAGAGCAGCAGAAAGAAUGCCAAAAUAUAAUGCUCAAAAUUAUGUGGCUUCCAUGAAGAAGGCAACUCUCCUUUACAAACCUAACAGUUAUGCACUAAUCCUUCAACUUUUAUCCUUGGAAUGAUGCCAAGAAAUCUGCUUUGGAAAUUGGUCCCUUAGAUGAGCAAAUGUGAAAUUAUGAGCCAUAUUCAAUAUAAGAGCUGUCAUGGCAUUAUUAGGGAGAAAGGCAAGGGAUAUUCUGCUAUAUGUUCACAAUAUUUCCCUGAUAUACUUGUGACACAAAAUUUCCAGGUAAACUUUCUAUUUGACCAGGACCUGAAAAAAAUUUAGGUUGGUUUAUUUUGUCCCCAAAAAUACAUGUACAAAAAAAUAUGCAUAAUUCAUCUGAAAGGAAACAUUAUAUUGAAGAAAUUUCAGGCUUCUUACAUGGUUUAUAUAUUUUGUUUGUUAGAAAAAUUUGAGUUUGACAAAUCUCUUGACAGCUAAUGCUGGAAGAAGUUUUCAACCUAUUUUGACUACUGCUAAGUAUUAAUCUCAAAGUGAAAGUGUUUUAGUUUAUCUCAAAAAAAUGAGAAUAUUAUUAGAAGAGUGCAUAUAUAUACAUAUAUCAUGUGGGCCUUCCCUAGGUACUGAGAGCAUUUGUAGAAAUGGAAAUAUGGAACUGAUGUAAUCAGAUCAUCAAAUAAGGAACAUAUAUUGAAAAUAUAAUUUUUGGAAGAAUUGUGAUUAUCAAAUCUGUUUAAAAAUAUAUCCUCUGAAAAUUAAUAGAAAUCUCUGCCCUAAAAUGUUAAUACACUUAAGGUUUAAUUUCUGAUCUGUCAUUUGUAUUAAAUAAUAUAGGGUGUAAAAGAAUAGUGAAUGAUGCAUUAACAUGCUCUAUCAUCAUUUAUUAUAUAACUAGAUUUUUUCUGAAAUUAAAUGUAAGUAGGAAUUUAGCAUUAUUAGGAUGAUCUAUGCAGCCAACCAAUCUUGGUAGAAUCACAGAGCCACCAAUAUUUAAUGGUUGUGAUUCUGUAUAAAUACUUAACUUUUUGUGCCCUUUUUAUCAUCUAACAAAUGUGUAAUGCUAAUAAAUAUGUUAUAUUUUCAUCUGGAAAUAUAGAUGAAAUACUGUAAUUUCAGUAAUUGAAGGGAAGUAUUUAUAUCAGUGUUAUGUUCAUUCUAAUAAUGCACUACAUAUGGGUUUCUACUAUAUAAUAUCCCAAUGAUGAUUUAUACCUCAUUUAUAUUUGGCAGUCCAACUAAGAUCUUUUUCAGUCAUAUUUUGCA